ensembl:lncRNA
GAGAGCCAGUGUUUUGCUUCUAUCUUCAUGCCCAGGUAUGUAUAAAGGAUGGGAUAGUUUAGUUAGGUUAGGGAUGGUUAGUUAAGGUGUUGGGUUGGAGAGGCUAAGUUUAGUUGUAAGGUUGAAGGUGGUUAGUUAAGGUGUUAGGUUAGAAAUGGUUAAGGUAACAGGUCAGAGAUGGUUACGAAUCAAAUCCAUGAUUGAUAUAAAGUCACUAAUAGUUCACAACAUGUCCGUACGUUUAGGGACGCCGCGUCUACUCUGCUCGUCAGCCGCUCAGAGAGUCGACGUCGCGGCGAUGACUCUAGCCCCCCACCCCUGACGGACCUCAACCGCCACUUAUAACGACGUCCUGCUCUCGGAAGUUCUCUCAUCUCCUCCACUCCACGUUGAGCGCCUCGGACACUACACGCUAAAUAUGUGGCGUGCGUGUGAUGAGAAUCGAUCCUCCACCGCAUGCACGGCGGGGAUAGACGAUACACGGACCUCCAGCAGGCGGUCGGUGGCAAUCAGUGCGCUUCUCUUUUCUGCGUUUCCUCGUGAAGAGAUUCGAUCACGCAACGUUCACCCGAGCGAUAACCUUUCGGACGCACAUCGCUGAGGUAGGAGGUCAGAAAAUGAUCGCUUACCUUCAGACGGAGAACUUUUGCAGCUGUGAUGAGACGAGACGCCGUCGAUCCACAGAGGGAGGGAGAGCGAGAGGACGGAGAGAGAGAGAGAGAGAGAGAGAGAGCGAGAGCGAGAGCGAGAGAGAGAGAGAGAGAGAGAGAGAGGAGGAGGACCGCUGAGAGAACAGACAGAUGAGGAGGACGCGACGCCCUCCGCAGGAUGAAAAUGAAUACGAAUCUCCAAUACAGAUCAGAACACACGCACACGCACACACAAACCUGAUGAGGUGCCGCUGAUUCAGAUUCUAAAUGACUCGGAAGGACCUUCAGUGGUAUCGUUGAAUGUUAAUCGUUGAAGAGUCUACAUUCGCUUUGUUAAGUGAAGAUAGAAAUUCCAGUCUUCCUUGUCUUCAGAGUCCAAAAGGACUUCCCGCUGCGCUUCAGAGGGGCGCAACAGGCGCCUGGUCGGGCGGAAGGGCACAACAGGCACACGGGAGGAGCGGAGGGGCGCAACAGGCGGCACGGCGUAGCAGAGGGGCGCAAUAGACGCCGUGGCGGAGCAGAGGGGCGCAACAGGCGAAUUGGCGGAGCGGAACGGCGCCACAGGCACACGAGAUGAGCGGAGGGACGCAACAGGCGACAAUGCGGAGCAGAGGGGCGCAACAGGCGGCUUGACGGAGCGGAGCGGCGCAACAGGCGCCUGGUCGGAGCAAAUACCGGGACGAAUCCUGACCCGGUGGACGGGAGUCUUCUGAUGCUUUCAGAUAAAGCUGGAAAUGACUCCUAACUGUUUAAACAAACUCGUGGUCCAUUUUUGAUCAAACUACUUUUAUUAUUUAAUCGUCAUUAAUUAACCUAAUCCAUUACACUUACGUUGAUGAGGUUGGUUCGAGGAUCUCAGAGUUAAUUGACUUGUAGGCUAAAGCUAAUGUUGUUUUGCAUUUGUUUUUGUGUGUAUGCUUAAGCCAAUCACUACACAAUAGGAUUGUAAUCAAUUUUUAUCUGAUUACAAAUUAUAAUCCGUUGCUCUUUUGCAAAUUAGCAGUCGUGGGUCGAACUCUUUUGUGUUUCCUUUGCCGUGACCUUCCAGGGUGAUCAAUGUGCUGUUCUUCUUUCAAAAAGCCAAAGGUCAUUGCACUGCACACGUUGUAGAAAAUAAAUGAGUUUAUUUGUUACAUGUUUGAGAUGAUUGCUACCAAGUCGGAACAAGAACCUAAACAUUAAACAAGAGCUCUUCAUUAACCACACACAGAGCCUACGGUGAGCUAACAGAAUACUGGGCGUAGAAACUUUUCAGAGGACUUAUUCCACGCUUACUUCUUACCAUUUCAAAUGUCAGUCAUGUUGUGUUACUAUCUGAAUAAACCAAGGUACCUUAUUGUCUAAACGAUUAACAGUGAUCUUCAAACACUAGAUAGAGAAUAGCCCACAGCCAGGAGGACGCUUUGGGGAGUGAUUCUAUACAGGUUUCAUAUCCGGGCAGGACCACUUUACCCUUAAGUUCCCCUCAGCUCGAUGUACACAACACUUAAAACAAAACCACUUAAAACAAAACCACAGUUCAUGUGCAAAAGGCAGCGAACAAGAUGACCACCAAGCCAAACGAGAUGACCACCAACCCAAACGCGCCCUUGGAGAUCCACCACCACCAUGCUCCCAGUGAGGUCCUCAUCGCCGGCUGAUUCACAUGCACGCUGCUAGUGUGCACGUUAGCGUCUGUUCCUCACCUUCCACUUGACCAGCAGUACCUCCUCCGACCAGAAGGGGCUCCUUCCUGAACCUCUUCCUGGUUCGCUGGUUUGGGUUCAAGUCUCACAGGGGGAGUCUGUUAAAAAUGGCAUUGCGAUAAAGAAAGAUACGAAUAAAGAACUGAUCCGUUGAAUCCACUCGAGAGAGCCGGGUGGGCCUCUGAGUGAGGAAGUUCUUGGGGAGGUUGUGGGCAUGUCCACGCAGACCCAGGUGUGACGGACAGAAACAUGUGACCAGGAAGUCAGUGCCUCAUCACAGGCUUAAAACUUAAACCUAAAAACCAAACAUAGAAAUUAGAAAAUAAACUGAACUCUUGUUGCAUAAGUUGUAGGCCAGAAGGGGUUUGAAUACACAAACAUGACUUAGGUUAUACCGAGUAUGACGAGAAUUUAAGCAAACUUAACAGGUGUGUCGGGAACAGGUAUCUAAUGCAACGUUAUCUCCUCCGAGGACGCCAUUUUGGCGGGGGUCCUCAAAGUUUUCUAACACUUAUGCCAGCUCUACAACUUUAAAGUCCUCAAACUCUUAAGCUAGCUUGUUAAGAUAAAGGUCCUCAAACUCUUAAGCUAUCUUGUCAAGAUGAAGGUCUCCAGAAUCUUCCCAGGAUGGCUCCAAACCGUUUCACCACGGUUUUCCGUCGCAAAUAGAAACUGCUUAGAAAAGGGUUUUGCCAAAACAUUGAAAACAUGAAGGAGUAUUUACAUCCCACGAAAGACGUCUGUGAUCAAGGUUGAAGUAACAUCUGCUAAGGUAAAGACAUUUGAGAAGAAUCAAUGUCUAUAGAUUUGAAGUAUAAAUAUUAAUUCAUUUACAAUGUGUUUGUACACUACUAUAUAACCUCUAUGAUUUCUCGUGUGCAGAUCAGGUACACAGGCAAUACGUUUAGUAAAAAAUAUAUGCUCUUUCUGUUGACGAAUACCAUCUUAUUAACGUCACCCUGCAGGCGGGAGCCCAGGAGGAGACCAGCGUCUACAACAGCACCCAGGGGUGCUACAGCAGCACCCAGUGUCUACAGCAGCACCCAGUGUCUACAGCAGCACCCAGGAGGAGACCAGUGUCUAGGAGGAGACCCAGGGUGCUACAGCAGCACCCAGGAGGAGACCCCAGUGUCUACAGCAGCACCCAGGGGUGCUACAGCAGCACCCAGUGUCUACAGCAGCACCCAGGGGUGCUACAGCAGCACCAGUGUCUACAGCAGCACCCAGUGUCUACAGCAGCACCCAGGGGUGCUACAACAGCACCCAGGAGGAGACCAGCGUCUACAGCAGCACCCAGGAGGAGACCAGUGUCUACAGCAGCACCCAGGGGUGCUACAACAGCACUCAGAGUCUACAGCAGCACCCAGGGUUGCUACAGCAGCACCCAGAGUCUACAGCAGCACCCAGAGUCUACAGCAGCACCCAGUGUCUACAGCAGCACCCAGAGUCUACAGCAGCACCCAGAGUCUACAGCAGCACCCAGAGUCUACAGCAGCACCCAGAGUCUACAGCAGCACCCAGUGUCUACAGCAGCACCCAGUGUCUAGAGCAGCACCCAGAGUCUACAGCAGCACCCAGUGUCUAGAGCAGCACCCAGAGUCUACAGCAGCACCCAGUGUCUAGAGCAGCACCCAGUGUCUACAGCAGCAUCCAGUGUCUACAGCAGCACCCAGGGGUGCUACAGCAGCAUCCAGUGUCUACAGCAGCACCCAGAGUCUACAGCAGCACCCAGUGUCUACAGCAGCACCCAGGGGUGCUACAGCAGCACCCACCCAGAGUCUACAGCAGCACCCACCCAGUGUCUACAGCAGCACCCACCCAGAGUCUACAGCAGCACCCAGAGUCUACAGCAGCACCCAGAGUCUACAGCAGCACCCACCCAGUGUCUACAGCAGCACCCACCCAGAGUCUACAGCAGCACCCAGUCUGCAGCCGUCCACCGUGGAGCCUUCACUACCAUCAGAGGCAUCUAUCCAAAGGGACUGACCGCAGGUCAUUAAGGAGAGGGAGGGGUCCGGGGGAGGGGUCAGGGGUCAUUAAGGAGAGGGAGGGGUCAGGGGUCAUUAAGGAGAGGGAGGGGUCAGGGGUCAUGAAGGAGAGGGGGGGGUCCGGGAGGGGUCAUUAAGGAGAGGGAGGGGUCAAGGGUCAUUAAGGAGAGGGAGGGGUCAGGGGUCAUUAAGGAGAGGGAGGGGUCAGGGGUCACUAAGGAGAGGGAGGGGUCAGGGGUCAUUAAGGAGAGGGAGGGGUCAGGGGUCAUUAAGGAGAGGGAGGGGUCGGGGGAGGGGUCAGGGGUCAUGAAGGAGAGGGAGGGGUCAGGGGGACGGGUCAGGGGUCAUUAAGGAGAGGGAGGGGUCAGGGGUCAUUAAGGAGAGGGAGGGGUCGGGGUCAUUAAGGAAAGGGAGGGGUCGGGGG